AUAAUACUUCCUCCGUCCGAAAAUACUUGUCGGAGUAAUGGAUGCAUCUAGACGUAUUUUAGUUCUAGAUACAUCCAUAUUUAUGCAUUUAUCCGACAAGUAUUUUAAGACGGAGGGAGUAUCCA
rfam:Triticum aestivum genome assembly, contig: Triticum_aestivum_CS42_TGACv1_scaffold_404363_5BL